UCCUAAGUGAUGCGAGAUUGCCUGCUAAGUUUAAGCAUAUCAAUAAGCAAAGGAAAGAAACUUACCAGGAUUUCCCUAGUAAUGGUAAGUGAACCAAGAAAAGCCUAGCUUGAGAACCAGGCACCCUCGACAUCCAUAUUGAAGUUUGGACAAGCAUCCUCAAUGGUGGAUCGAGCCUAAGUCCCAUGAAAAGAGGCGUCGAAGAGGGUGAGAGCCCGGUUAUGCUUGGACCCUAUCGUAGCAUGAGGCACUAUAUAUGAGUUGAGUUAUUAGGGAAUAUAGCCCCAAUUGGGUGGUAAAAUUUAUCCGAGGUUAAAUAUGAGUAAGAGACUGAUAGCAAACAAGUACUGUGAGGUAAAGAUGAAAAGAAUUUUGGAAAAAAAAGUCAAAAAGUGCUUGAAAUUGUCAAAAAAAAAGUAGAUAGGGGCAAAUGAUGCACACCGAUUAGAUGUGGAAUGAUGAGAGCUAGUCCGUCGAUCAACUCAGGUCGUGGACCGAUGUAGGUUACAAAGGUCACCUAAGCUUGAGUAUUCAAUAUGCAAGUGGAGAUGUCAUUACCAUGAUCAUGGAAUGUAGCAUGUAUCAUCUCAUCGUGCCUCGGCACUUACGUGCCCUUAGCAUUGCCUACGGGCUCCUUAUCUGACCCAUCUUAAAACGCAGACCAAGGAUUCUAACAUGUGUAUGAGUCAACAAGAGAGAAAACUUGUAAGGCACAAUGAAGAUGAUUAAUGGGAUCCCUUGAGGGUGCACCACUGAUCGACCUAGGUAUGCUUGAGCAGGGCAAAGCCAGAGGAAACUUUGGUGAAGGCCUUCAACGAUAUUGAUCUACAAAUCAUUCGUCUGACUUAGGUAUAGGGGUCAAAGACUAAUCAAACUAUCUAGUAGUCGGUUCCUUCUAAAGUUUCCUUUAGGAUAGCUAGAACCAUUAGCAAGUUCUAUAAGGUAAAGCCAAUGAUUAAAGGCAUCAGGCGCACAAUGCCCUCAACUUAUGCUUAAAUUUUAAAUAGGUAGGAUGGCAUGACUACUUCAUUAAGCUGUACCAUGAAAUCAAGAGCUCUAAGUAGGCCAUUUUUGGUAAGCAAAAUUGGUGAUACGGGUUAAACCAGAAGCCAUGUUAUGGUGCCAAACUACAUGCUAAACUUAAACCCACAAAGGUUGUUGGUCAACUAAGAUAGCAUGACAUUUGUCAUGAAAGUCAAAAUCCACUAAAAAGUGUAACAACUCAUUUGUUGAACCAAUUAGCCUUGAAAAUGGAUGGUGCUUAAGUGCAUGACUCAUACCCAACUAUCAGCGUAAGGGCCAAGCCCUAAUGAGUAGAAAGGUAAGGCGGUCAUUGUAAAACCUAGGGCAUAAACCUGGGUAAAGUAGUCAUCGAUGCAAAUCUUGAUGGUAGUAGCAAAUAUUCAAAUGAGGACUUUGAAGGCCAAAGAGAGGAAAGGUUCCAUGUGAAUGACACUUGCACAUGGGUUAGUCAAUCCUAAGAGACAAAGGAAGCCCAUCCAAUAGUGCAUCUAGUGCUAGCUUUAAAAGUGAAUUGGGUUAAAAUUCUUGAAUCGGGAUACAAUGGCUAACGGGAACAUUACGGAGUCUAGAGACAUCGAUAGGGGCCUUGGGAAGAGUUAUCUUUUUUGUUUAACAACCUACUCACCAUGGAAAUGGCUUAGUCAAAUGAUGGGUCCAAUGGCCAAAAAAGCAAUGUACAUCAUGUGAUGUCAAGUAUGCCCCUAACGGCCCUUGAAAAUCCAAAGGACCAAGUACCAUCUAUACCCAAUCAUAGUCAUAGCUACAUCAGAUCUCCAACGUGAAUAGCCUCUAGUCAAUGAAACAAUGUAGGCAAGGGAAGUCGGUAGAAUAGAUCUGUAACCUUGUGAAAAGGAUUAGCUUUGAGCACUGGGCACAUGGAUCCUAUUCCUAAACCUAUUGAUUGCUGGUGCAUUGCUUGAGCUAUUCUCGUGAUGAAAAUGGGUUGUCCUAUGCUAAUCGAGGAACGAACUAGGAGCGACUCCCUCAGGGGCCUUCCCUAAGUAGUGAAUAGUCAAUUCAGAAUUGGUACAAAUAAGGGGAAUCUAACUAUUUAAUUAAAACAAAGCAUUGUGAUGGUCUUUAAGAAUGCUCAUGCAAUGUGAUUUUUGCCCAGUGCUUUGAAUGUUAAAGUGAAGAAAUUCAACCAAGAUGGGUAAAUAGUGAGUGUAACUACGACUCUCUUAAGGUAGCCAAAUGCCUUGUCGUCUAAUUAGUGACACACAUGAAUGAAUUAAUGAGAUUCCUAAUGUCCCUAUCUAUUUUCCAAUGAAACCAUAGCCAAAGCAAUGGGCUUGGCAGGAUUUACAGGGAAUGAAGACCAUGUUGAGCUUGACUUUAGUUUGACUUAUGAAAUGACUUGAGAGGUGUAGAAUAAGUAGGAGCCCUCAAGCAAAAUUGAAAUACCGGGAGCCUUCAGGAAAAAUUAAAAUACCACUACUUUUAACAUUAUUUUACUUAUUUUGUGAAUCAGAGAUAAGGCACGACCCCUUCUUUUGGACCCAAGGUCAGCCUCGAUCCAUCAAUUUGGGUAGAAGACAUUAUCAGGUGGAGAGUGUGGCUAGGGUGUCAUUUUUGUUAAAAGAUAACGUAGGUGUUGAUGAACUCAAUAAACUCAAUGAGAACAAAAAUCUCAUGUGGAAUAAAGGGGUAAAAGCUCAUUUGAUUCUGAUUUCUAGUACAAGUACAAACUGUGAAAGUGUGCCUAUUGAUACUUUAGACCUUUGAAAUUUGAAACUAGAGGUGUCAGAAAAAUUACCACAAGGAUAACUAGCUAGUGGUAGCCAAGUGUUCGUAGCAAUGUUGCUUUUUUAUUCUUGGAUGUUGGCUCUUCCUAUCAUUGUGAAACAAAAUUCAUCAAGUGUUGGAUUGUUCACCCACCAGUAAGAAACAUGAGCUAGGUUUAGAACAUUGUGAGACAGGUUAGUUUUACCCUAAUGGUGGUAGCCUUGCAAUAACAAUUCAACUUAGUAUGAGAGGAAUCAUUGAUUCACAUAAAUUGGUCAUUGUGCUUGGUUGAAAAGUUAGCGACACGAAGGUAUCAUACCUUGGAUUAUGACUAAAUGCCUCUAAGUUAGAAUCCAAGCUAGAUGCAACACACGUACCGAUCAUUUGAUUGCCAACCCAUAGUAUGGGCCCGUGGUCCCUAAGGGCACAUGUCGUAACUAUAGUCCCUGCUAUGGACAGGCUAUACAAGC
rnacentral:rRNA from 1 species